CAACUGACUAGGUAUCCCCCUUUCCCUAUACAACUGACUAGGUAUCCCCCUUUCCCUAUACAACUGACUAGGUCUCCCCCUUUCCCUUAUCAGGGAUCUAACGUGUAGUUCUUCAAAGGGACAUCUGGGUAGAUAGUAGAAUACAGCUUGGCGUACUGUAUGUUUUAAUAUAUUAUGUGUAUGACAUUUAGCAGACACUUUUCCAAAGCAACAUACAUUUCUACGUAUGGGUGGACCUGGGAAUCGAACCCACAAUCCUACUGUUGCAAUCGACAUGCUCUGUCAACUGAGCCAUACAGAACCAGCUUGUUAUAUUGUAGGUUCAGACAGGACCAGUUUGUUAUAAUGUAGGUUCAGACAGGACCAGUUUGUUAUAAUGUAGGUUCAGACAGGACCAGUUUGUUAUAUUGUAGGUUCAGACAGGACCAGUUUGUUAUAUUGUAGGUUCAGACAGGACCAGUUUGUUAUAUUGUAGGUUCAGACAGGACCAGUUUGUUAUAAUGUAGGUUCAUACAGGACCAGUUUGUUAUCGUUUUGGUUCAUGCCUUUUUGUUCAUACAUAGAUGUGUACAAGUAGUGUGUGUGUGUGUGUGUUCGGGUGUCAGGAAAUUGAGCUCAGCAGGGCUCUGCGUGCCAGUCCUCAGUCCUAGCCUGUGGCUGGUGUCCUGGUGUCAGCAGCAGGAGGAAAUCCUCUGACAGAUCAGCUCCCUGCAGCAGGGAAGAGGCCAGGCCACAGGGUGUGUGUAUGUGUGUGUGUGUGUUGACAGAUCAGCUCUCUGAAGCAGGGAAGAGGCCAGGCCACAGGGUGUGUGUAUGUGUGUGUGUGUGUUGACAGAUCAGCUCUCUGAAGCAGGGAAGAGGGAAGA
ensembl:lncRNA